rnacentral:rRNA from 1 species
CGCUGGCGGCGUGCUUAACACAUGCAAGUCGAACGAUGACGGUGGUGCUUGCACCACCUGAUUAGUGGCGAACGGGUGAGUAACACGUGAGUAACCUGCCCCCCACUUCGGGAUAACCUCGGGAAAUCGUGGCUAAUACCGGAUACGAGCACUCAUCGCAUGGUGGGUGCUGGAAAGAUUAUCGGUGGGGGAUGGACUCGCGGCCUAUCAGUUUGUUGGUGAGGUGAUGGCUCACCAAGACGAUGACAGGUAGCCGGCCUGAGAGGGCGACCGGCCACACUGGGACUGAGACACGGCCCAGACUCCUACGGGAGGCAGCAGUGGGGAAUAUUGCACAAUGGGCGAAAGCCUGAUGCAGCGACGCCGCGUGGGGGAUGACGGCCUUCGGGUUGUAAACCCCUUUCAGUAGAGAAGAAGCGAGAGUGACGGUACCUGCAGAAGAAGCGCCGGCUAACUACGUG